GCGGCCGUAGUCUAGCGGCAGGAUACCAGCCUCCCACGCUGGGGACCCGGGUUCAAAUCCCGGCGGCCGCA
rnacentral:tRNA from 1 species